ensembl:misc_RNA Metazoa_SRP Metazoan signal recognition particle RNA
GCUGGGCAUGGUGACGCAUGCCUGUAGUCCCAGCUACUCGGGAGGCUGAGGCAGAAGAAUCACUUGAACCCGGGAGGCAGAGGCUGCAGUGAGCCGAGUUUGCGUCACUGCACUCCAGCCUGGGUGUCAGAGCGAGAUUCUGUCUCAA